rnacentral:misc_RNA from 1 species
CCUACCGCUGCACCUCCUACACGUCUCCACGUGCCCACUGCUGAAGAGAUGGCGUUUCAAUGCGAAACAGAGCACACAAACCACACAAAACUGCGUCCCCUCGCGAAAAAAGAAAUCACCCGAUGAGGCUUUCUCUCUCUCUCUCCAGGGUUUUGUGCACACACGCACAUAAACACCGCCGCCAUCCCUCUGCACCGCGCAGGGCCAUCAUUGGCUUCCCCACCCUUUAGCACAUCAUCUCUGCCAUUACAACACGAUGCCAAAGUGCGACGCCGUAUUUGUGAGCCUGAUGUCGCACGACGUCGCUCGUCGUCCGGCCGUAAAGAUGCAAGAGGGCGGCAGCAUAGAAUCAGCUCGGCAUCCGCACGACAAGGGUUGAUUGCCUCGGCAACGGCGGGAAGGCCGACUUUAUCCUCGACUGCCGACGCCCCUGGAGGCGGUGGUGGUGGUGGGGGGAAUCGACUGCUCCCUCGUGCAGUUCAGCGACGCGCGCGCCAAGUCCGCCACGAUCUUGCCGGUUUGCUCCAACGGCGGACACCCCUGCCUGCACUACCGCGGCGCGUUUGACGAGGUCUUCGUGACGGAAGAGGAGCUCGACAGUGUGCUGAAUUGCAAGUGCUUUUACCACACCGGCACAGGCUUGCCGGAGGCGGCGGCCAAGGUGCGUCGCGUGGUGACCUGCGCUUGCGUGCUUCACCUGAGCGAGGGCACGCUCGACGUCAUCACGCCGCUUCUGCUAUACGUGGGCUGCUUCACUCUCAGCCUGUAGGAGGCCGCCUACAUUCCCAGCUCCUACGACCCCAUCGAGGUCGCAAGCUUCUUUGCGCUCGGCGUGCAGAUGUGCGCGGCUUGUACCUGAUCGAGCGCUACAGCGUCCAGCGUGUGCCAGCCUAUGUACUGCGGGCGUCCGACUUCAUGGGCAGCGGCGACGCUUACAGCGGUAGCUUUAUCGGGGUCUGGCUCGUGGCUUGUCGGAGGUGGAGAGGUUCCGAAUGGGCUCCGUCGUCGGCACCCUCGUCGCGAGCGGCUUGGGCUCGGACGCCGGCGUGAUGAACUGGGGGAAGGUGUAGCAGUACACUGAGAAUUACGGCCCGAUGGAGUAAGUGGACGCAGCUGUUCGAGGGGAGGGGGCGAAGCGCGCGCAAGACCGACACGGCAAGAUGCGCGCUCUGUGGACCAUACAGGGAGACGUGUCGCACCCAUUCCCCGACGCAGCCGCGCCACUAGUUUGCUCCUUUUCCUCCCAAGCUCCACUCUGUCGUCUCUUGCGCCGGCGCACUCUGACGCGAACAUCCAGACGCAUACCCGCUGUAUCUACGUGUGUCCUUCUCCACACGGAACAGAGCCAGCGAGAGUGAAGCAGGGCAGGAUGCACACCCACGCACAUGCACGCACACGUACGCAUAAUAAGCGCGGAUGGGUGCGCCCUGCGCGCUUAUCGUUUUUGUUUGCUUCGCUCUUUCCUUUUGCGUCUUCCCUUUCAUUUGUGCCAAAUCCACUGCAGUGCGCCUCUGUGCUUCUAUCUCUCUGUGCGUGCGUGUGUGCCGUCGUGAACACGUGAGAGGACUGGCUUGACGGAGCUGAACGUGUGUGUCCUUCUCCUUGGUCAAGUCGGCUAAGCUUCCAAGGCAAUCGUGGUUUUUGUGCUCGUCGUGGAAGCAGAUGAGAUCGUCCCCUUCACUCGCUUGGGUGAUCGGCCACCCUCCGCUGCGGGCGCGCACGCAUGCGACCGAAGGCAGCGCC